rnacentral:tRNA from 1 species
CGCGGGAUGGAGCAGUUCGGUAGCUCGUCAGGCUCAUAACCUGAAGGUCGUAGGUUCAAAUCCUACUCCCGCAACCA